GGCCUGAUAGCACAGUUGGUAGUGCAUCUGUAAGUUGUAUGCGUGUGAGGAAAUGUUUCGGUAGAAGACUCCUGUUCGAUCCGGGGUCGGGUCA